rnacentral:rRNA from 1 species
ACGCGAAAGGGACUUCGGUCCUGAGUAUAGUGGCGCACGGGUGAGUAACGCGUGGAUAAUCUACCUGACGGGCAGGGAUAACACUUCGAAAGGGGUGCUAAUACCUGAUAAGACCACGGAGUCUCUGGGCUCUGCGGUAAAAGGUGGGGACCUUCGGGCCUACCGUCAUCAGAUGAGUCCGCGUACCAUUAGCUAGUUGGUAGGGUAAAGGCCUACCAAGGCGACGAUGGUUAGCUGGUCUGAGAGGAUGAUCAGCCACACUGGAACUGAGACACGGUCCAGACUCCUACGGGAGGCAGCAGUGGGGAAUUUUGCGCAAUGGGGGAAACCCUGACGCAGCAACGCCGCGUGAGUGAUGAAGGCCUUCGGGUCGUAAAGCUCUGUCAGAGGGGAAGAAGUGCAGUGGUGCUAAUAUCAUCAUUGCUUGACGGUACCCUCAAAGGAAGCACCGGCUAACUCCGUGCCAGCAGCCGCGGUAAUACGGAGGGUGCAAGCGUUGUUCGGAAUUAUUGGGCGUAAAGCGCGUGUAGGCGGUCUUUUAAGUCUGAUGUGAAAGCCCCGGGCUCAACCUGGGAAGUGCAUUGGAAACUGGGAGACUUGAAUACGGGAGAGGGUAGUGGAAUUCCU